rnacentral:lncRNA from 1 species
AGGCUGUCUGAUGGGACUUCACUCUGGGUGCUGGCAGGGACGUUGUGUGGCCUGGGUGAAUGUGGGGAGGAGGCAUUUCUUCCUCCCCCCCCCCCUUCUCUCCCAGUUUCUUCAGGGCUUGGGGGUCUUCUCAGGGAGACCCCCACUGUGAUGCCCCUCCUGCUGCUGUUGGAUUCUAGAGGCCAGCCACUGGCAGGCCAUUCCACUGGCCUGCCUUGCCCUGAGUUCUGCAAGUGAGGACCGGUGCCUAGUAUCUUGAUGUGCCCUCUGUUCCUCAUUGUCAUGUCACAGCUGCCCUGAGCUGUUUGCUCCGCUGCUGGGGCCAGAUUGAAGCAAACACGGGUCAGCAAUCUUUUAAUUUUUAAAGUUAUUGUUAUUACUUAUUUAUUUUUUGCAGUGCUGGGACUGGAAACCAGGGCCGCAUGCUACCCAAGUGCUGUACCACUUAGCUACAGCCCCAGCCCCUGGCUGGGCCUUAAAAAAAAAAAAAAUUUUUUUUUAAUUACUUUGAUUUCAGUGUCUCCCCUCCUCAAAGUAUAUCCAAAGUGCUUACUCUAAAAUGGAGCAUGUUCUAUUUAGAAAUGCUUUUAAAGUGUGUUUUAAGUUACAAGAGUAAUAUAUUCUUAAGAAACUUUGUGGCUCAGCGGUAGAGCGCUCACCUCGCAUGUGCAAGAUCCUG